rnacentral:rRNA from 1 species
GGCCCCACGCAUUAAUAUGUGGGGUCGAACCUGCCCGGUGACCAACACGAAUGUGUAGUUUAACGGCCGCUGUAAUGGGUGCAAAGGUAGCAAAAUCGAUUGCCCUUUAAUUGAGGGCGUGUGAAUGGUUUGACGUAGGUUAAGCUGUCUCGUGCGGGGGUAGUGAAAUUUACUUUUGAGUGCAAAGGCUCAACUGUAAAGGGUGGACGAGAAGACCCUGUGAGCUUUACCUUAGGGUUUAAUUGGGGCAAUUUAAGAGCAUGAAAAACCUCUUAAUUCGUAAAAAUUCAUAUGAUCCGUAAAAGAGCGAUUAUUAGAAAAGUUACCACAGGGAUAACAGCGUUAUCUCCCUUGAGAGUUCAUAUUGACAGGGGGGUUUGCGACCUCGAUGUUGAAUUAAGGUGUUCGUGGGGCGCAGCAGCUUCAGAAGAUGGGUCUGUUCGACCUUUAAAACCUU